rnacentral:rRNA from 1 species
UACGUAGGGUGCGAGCGUUAAUCGGAAUUACUGGGCGUAAAGCGUGCGCAGGCGGUGAUGUAAGACAGGUGUGAAAUCCCCGGGCUUAACCUGGGAACUGCAUUUGUGACUGCAUCGCUGGAGUGCGGCAGAGGGGGAUGGAAUUCCUGGUGUAGCAGUGAAAUGCGUAGAUAUCAGGAGGAACACCGAUGGCGAAGGCAGGUCUCUGGGCUGACACUGACGCUCAUGCACGAAAGCGUGGGAGCAAACAGG